UUGAAAGGCUCAUGACGUUCACAACAGAAUGUACCAUCUGGAGAUGCCAGGCACUUCUGUGCUCUAGCAACAUUAACUUCACACGCAGAGAUGGGAAAUACCGACAGAGAAAGAAACUGCGAACUGCGGCUUGUUCAAACAGUUUGCUGUUAGUGUAUCAAUGCCUAAUCUCAACACUGUUUAGUUAAGAGUCCACUCUCUAAAGUCAACUCAACAUAAUGUCGUGGGGGGGGGGGGUGCCUGGAGGUUGAAUAAACUUCUCCGCCCUCUACCUGCUGACCACCGCAGACACUCCUGGAGAGUGCAGCGGCAUCCAGAAGCAAAGCUUGCAUUCUCUUGCCAAGUGACUUCCUAACUUCACUGAAAAGCGCUCACUUUUUCAGCUCGCAAAAACUCUUCAAGGACAACGGGUAAGAUGUACGUGGAAGUUAAUAUUGAGGGGGCAGAUUCUGGAGCGGAGGAUGAAAUUCACACGUUCCAGGAAUCAGGUGGGUCCCAAAGAAGCCUGUAUGAAUGAAGGGGGAGAGGGAACCGAGCAGGGUUCCAGCGUCGCCCCCACGGGAACAUCUUCCAGCCCCGCACUCGAGUCGCCAAGUGCGUGCGUGGGCCCGGGCCACGAGAUGAGCGGGGCACCCGGCUGGACCCUAACUGCCCAGCCCACCUGCAGCAGGGCAGGAGCUGCUGCGCACCUUGUGGGAGACGCCGGGAGCGGAAUGGACGUGGCACCCCCUCGGCCCUCGGGGCUAUGGUGGGUGCGGCGCCCGCUGCCCCCUAAGAGCAAGAACUGACAAGGCUCGGGCGCGGGAGGCAAGGGGCCCCCAGCCUCCUGCAACCCCGAGUCCCCCGCUGCCCCGAGCCGGGUCCGGGAAGAGCUCGGAAUGGAGCGAAGGGCGGCCCAAGGAUGAGGGAACCGGUACUCACAAAGCCCACUGGAGCCGGUGCUGGUGAACAUGGUCCCGCCGGGCCCGGAGCCCCCGCGGGGCGUCAGGGGGAGGGGAGGCAGAGGUGGAGAGCCCCCAGCGACCGCGCAGGCGCACUGUCAACCAGCGAGCGAAGUCGGCCCGGCGAGGCGCUCCGGAGCCGCCAGGAAGAAGGCGCAUGCGCAGCCCGUGGGGCGUGCACACUCGGCCAGAGCCCGCCCCUUCCUUCCCAGAGAGGAAGUGCGUAGGUGCGGGCGAGCCGGAUGGUAGCUGCUUCCGGUAGUUCGGGGCGGGUUUGGCGCAUGCCAGAAUUCCCAGUACAGAACCUUACGGCGUGAAGCGCCGUGAGCGAGCCGGUUCUUCCGCCACAGAACACCAGGCCUUUCUCGAGACCUCUGACCUUUCACUGGGCGAGACGGCCGCGAGUCCCACGCAUGCUCAGUACUUCCGUGUGGGCCUUGGCGCUCAGUGAACAGUCUGCUUCCGGUGACCCACCAAGCACCUGGGGUUGCUGGGGUGAGGGUGGACAAGACGGCUAGUAGAAGAAAAAGUUUUAAAAAUACACUUAGCUUUCUGUUCCGGGCAGUGGUGGCGCACGCCUUUAAUCCCAGCACUUGGGAGGUUGAGUUCGAGGCCAGCCAGGUCUUAGAGGUAUCGUGAACAUCAGUGCAGCAGUUCUGGUCACCUGGAUUUAUAAACACCAAGAAGUAGCAACAGCCAGUGUGCAAGUCACUGACAACCCAAGUCACCAAAAAUCUUACUGAGAACCCAUUAGCUCCUUGAAUUAAAGAUUAUUUUGUGAAAAGAGGCUUGAUCGUCUUGUUCUGCACCUGAAAUAAAGCAUUUCCCAUUCUGUUGUUUUAAAAUAUUUACUCUGU
rnacentral:lncRNA from 1 species